UACGUAGGGUGCGAGCGUUAAUCGGAAUUACUGGGCGUAAAGUGUGCGCAGGCGGCCGCGCAAGUCGAGUGUGAAAGCCCCGGGCUUAACUUGGGAAUUGCGCUCGAAACUACGUGGCUGGAGUAUGGCAGAGGAAGGUGGAAUUCCACGUGUAGCGGUGAAAUGCGUAGAGAUCCGGAAGAACACCGGUGGCGAAGGCGGCCUGCUGGGCAGUUGCUGACGCUGAGGCGCGACAGCGUGGGGAGCAAACAGG
rnacentral:rRNA from 1 species